AACGAACGCUGGCGGCAUGCCUAGCACAUGCAAGUCGAACGAGACCUUCGGGUCUAGUGGCGCACGGGUGCGUAACGCGUGGGAACCUGCCCUUAGGUUCGGAAUAACUCCCCGAAAGGGGUGCUAAUACCGGAUAAUGUCUUCGGACCAAAGAUUUAUCGCCUUUGGAUGGGCCCGCGUUGGAUUAGCUAGUUGGUAGGGUAAAAGCCUGCCAAGGCGACGAUCCAUAGCUGGUCUGAGAGGAUGAUCAGCCACACUGGGACUGAGACACGGCCCAGACUCCUACGGGAAGCAGCAGUGGGGAAUAUUGGACAAUGGGCGAAAGCCUGAUCCAGCAAUGCCGCGUGAGUGAUGAAGGCCUUAGGGUUGUAAAGCUCUUUUACCCGGGAUGAUAAUGACAGUACCGGGAGAAUAAGCUCCGGCUAACUCCGUG
rnacentral:rRNA from 1 species